GAGAAAUAGGUAGAUCGUGCAUGGAUGGAACAUCACAAACCUACAUAGCAACAACAGAAAUUGGAGCCCCAACUGGUCUUGCAAUCGAUUUUACAUCCAAUAGACUUUACUGGACUGAUGGACCUAAAGAUCGUAUUGAGUACUCUGACUUAAAUGGAGGAAACAGACAUGUUUUGACAACAGAUAAAGACGCAUUUCCCAUUGGAAUUGUUGUUCAUGAACAAUAUCUCUAAUACACAGCGUCGAAUAGACAAGGCGUACGAAAGAUAAACAAGGCAACGGGUUCAAAAGUAACAUUCAUGUCAAGUCAUCCAGAGCUAGGUAGACUGGAUAGUCUGGAUGUGUAUACAGAUGAUUCUGUUGAUAUGAGUUUGAGUUGUUCUACAAAU